UAACCGGGCGUUAAGUUGCAGGGUAUAGACCCGAAACCCGGUGAUCUAGCCAUGGGCAGGUUGAAGGUUGGGUAACACUAACUGGAGGACCGAACCGACUAAUGUUGAAAAAUUAGCGGAUGACCUGUGGCUGGGGGUGAAAGGCCAAUCAAACCGGGAGAUAGCUGGUUCUCCCCGAAAGCUAUUUAGGUAGCGCCUCGUGAAUUCAUCUCCGGGGGUAGAGCACUGUUUCGGCUAGGGGGCCAUCCCGGCUUACCAACCCGAUGCAAACUGCGAAUACCGGAGAAUGUUAUCACGGGAGACACACGGCGGGUGCUAACGUCCGUCGUGAAGAGGGAAACAACCCAGACCGCCAGCUAAGGUCCCAAAGUCAUGGUUAAGUGGGAAACGAUGUGGGAAGGCCCAGACAGCCAGGAUGUUGGCUUAGAAGCAGCCAUCAUUUAAAGAAAGCGUAAUAGCUCACUGGUCGAGUCGGCCUGCGCGGAAGAUGUAACGGGGCUAAACCAUGCACCGAAGCUGCGGCAGCGACGCUUAUGCGUUGUUGGGUAGGGGAGCG
rnacentral:rRNA from 1 species